GAUGAACGCUAGCGGAAGGCUUAACACAUGCAAGUCGAGGGCGAUUAUUAGGUAGUAAUAUUUAAUAAGAGACCGGCGCACGGGUGAGUAACGCGUAUGCAACCUACCUUAUACAGGGGUAUACCUUUCGGAAACGAGAAUCAAUCCCCCAUAGCAUCCUGAGAGGGCAUCCUUUUAGGAUUAAAUUUACGGAGGUAUAAGAUGGGCAUGCGUACCAUUAGGUAGUUGGUAGGGUAAUAGCCUACCAAGCCGAUGAUGGUUAGGGGUUCUGCAAGGAAGGUCCCCCACACUGGUACUGAGACACGGACCAGACUCCUACGGGAGGCAGCAGUGAGGAAUAUUGGUCAAUGGUCGGAAGACUGAACCAGCCAAUCCGCGUGCAGGAAGACGGCCCUAUGGGUUGUAAACUGCUUUUAUAUUGGAAUAAUUUUAGAUACGAGAUAUUUGAAUUGCAAGUACAAUAAGAAUCAGCAUCGGCUAACUCCGUGCCAGCAGCCGCGGUAAUACGGAGGAUGCAGGCGUUAUCCGGAUUUAUUAGGUUUAAAGGGUGCGUAGGCGGUUUUAUAAGUCAGUGGUGAAAAUCUGGAGCUUAACUUUAGACUUGCCAUUGAUACUGUAUGACUAGAGUGCGAACGAGGUAUGCGGAAUGUGCAGUGUAGCGGUGAAAUGCAUAGAUAUUGCACAGAACACCGAUUGCGAAGGCAGCGUACCAGGCCGCAACAGACGCUGAUGCACGAAAGCGUGGGGAUCAAACAGGAUUAGAUACCCUGGUAGUCCACGCCGUAAACGAUGAUCACUUGCUGUUAGCGAUAUAUAGUUAGUGGCAAAGGGAAACCGAUAAGUGAUCCACCUGGGGAGUACGUUCGCAAGAAUGAAACUCAAAGGAAUUGACGGGGGCCCGCACAAGCGGAGGAACAUGUGGUUUAAUUCGAUGAUACGCGAGGAACCUUACCUGGGUUUGAACGCAUGUUGCAUAAACUAGAGAUAGUUUUUUCUUUCGGGACUACAUGCGAGGUGCUGCAUGGUUGUCGUCAGCUCGUGCCGUGAGGUGUCGGCUUAAGUGCCAUAACGAGCGCAACCCUCAUUGCCAGUUACCAACGGGUCAAGCCGGGGACUCUGGCGAAACUGCCGGCGUAAGCUGAGAGGAAGGUGGGGAUGACGUCAAAUCAGCACGGCCCUUAUAUCCAGGGCUACACACGUGUUACAAUGGUCGGUACAAAGGGCAGCUACCUGGUGACAGGAUGCUAAUCUCAAAAGCCGAUCCCAGUUCGGAUUGGAGUCUGCAACUCGACUCCAUGAAGUUGGAUUCGCUAGUAAUCGCGCAUCAGCCAUGGCGCGGUGAAUACGUUCCCGGGC
rnacentral:rRNA from 1 species